GAUGAACGCUGGCGGCGUGCCUAAUACAUGCAAGUCGAGCGAAUGGAUUAAGAGCUUGCUCUUAUGAAGUUAGCGGCGGACGGGUGAGUAACACGUGGGUAACCUGCCCAUAAGACUGGGAUAACUCCGGGAAACCGGGGCUAAUACCGGAUAACAUUUUGAACCGCAUGGUUCGAAAUUGAAUGGCGGCUUCGGCUGUCACUUCUGGAUGGAACCGCGUCGCAUUAGCUAGUUGGUGAGGUAACGGCUCACCAAGGCAACGAUGCGUAGCCGACCUGAGAGGGUGAUCGGCCACACUGGGACUGAGACACGGCCCAGACUCCUACGGGAGGCAGCAGUAGGGAAUCUUCCGCAAUGGACGAAAGUCUGACGGAGCAACGCCGCGUGAGUGAUGAAGGCUUUCGGGUCGUAAAACUCUGUUGUUAGGGAAGAACAAGUGCUAGUUGAAUAAGCUGGCACCUUGACGGUACCUAACCAGAAAGCCACGGCUAACUACGUACCAGCCGCCGCGGUAA
rnacentral:rRNA from 1 species